GGACCUAGCUGCACCGACUGGGGCCCUCUCCGCAUCGCUGCCUCCUUUCCCUCUGGUGCCCUCUCGCUUUCUGCAAUUUUCAAAUAUCUGGCGUUGGAAUGUGUGUCUGUGUUUAUUUACUUUUGGUGCUUGGAGUCACUUCUUUGCGUUGUCUGCUAAGGAUACAUGAAGGGGGUGGAAGGAUGGAGGAAGGUGGACUGGUGAGUUAGCUCAUGAGAUGCCAGUGAGCGUUGACGCAUUCCUGCCAUGGUGGUGGAUCAGGACGGGCAGGUCACUUCUGUGUGACUAGUUGACAUGCGAUGACGCUUACGGGCUUUGGGUGGGGGCACAGAGCGACAGAGCAGGGCCAAGAGGGGUCUGAAGAUUGAGUGCGCUCGUGUGAGAGAGGUGAAGAUCACCACAACAAGCGGUUGAAGGUUGCAUUGACCUGCAGUGAUGGAGUGGGCAACACUACUUCGACGCAAAUUCUGCUGAACGUAGGACUGAUGAGUAAAAUGACAUCGCUUCGUGACGAGGUGUUGAAGUACACGAUUGAGGAAGACCUGCAGCAGUUCAACACGUUGGCGAUUAAGCGACUGAAGGACAUCCAGUGUUCUAGGAUUAGGGCCGGGUUCUCUUCCAAGAAUGCCAAUCCGCGGGAGUUGAGAGGCAAGCUUUGGCCCUGUUAGGGAUUUCGUGAAGUUGUCAACCCGCAUUUCGGAGGUAGGACAAUAUUCAAAACGAAUUUUUUGUUGGAUAGCUAACUGGCAAAUAAAAUGAUCGGAUGCGUGCAAAUGCUGCGCUAGUUGAGCGAUCCGAUUGCAUUAUUAUACGAAAAGUCUCGGGGUGCAAGUGCACCGGAUGGAGUGGAGGAACAGUCGAAGGCCAAGAGUUUGAUGUCGAGCGCGAGCGGAGUAGAUACCAGUCGUGAAUCCAGGAAGCCAUACUCAAUCAAUUUUUCUUUUAAAAAAAGGCUUUAAGACACACGAAGCCACCCUUGCUGCACAUCGCACAUCAUAUAGAGGCUUGGAAUAUGGUAAACAUUGCUGAGGUCGGACAGCAGAAAGCGGGAGUGAAGUUGGUUUUGACAUCUUGAAGGAGCGAAAGAUUGUUACUGGCAACAUUGUAUCAUCCAAGCAAAGCGUGAGGCUGAUAAAGGAGAAGCCGCAAUUGAGAUGGUAUACAUUUCGAUCUGCGGCGGAGUUGAUGAAGCCUAGAGUGGCCAAGUAAGAAUCGAUGACCUGCAACCACUCCCGAGGGGAUUAUUUCAGGUCAUACAGAGUUUUAUGAAGCCGACAAAUAAGCCCAGUGUGAGGAGGAGUGACACCAGCUGAGACGUCCAUAUAAAUCUCUUCGUGCAUGAUCUAGUUCAAAAAGGUUGUUUUAACGUCCAUUUGUUGGACGUGAAAGUUCUGCUGAACCACGAGGGCAAUUAUCAGUCAUAUUGAUUAGAUGAAGACUACCGAAGAAAACGUUUCGUUGUAGUCAAGACCCAAAAUCUAAUUGACCUCCUAAGCCACAAGGCCGGCCUUGUAUACAUCUAUGAGGCCACCUUUUUUUAAUUUUAUCUUAAAUACCCACUUGCAAGUAAUUGGGUGUUGAUUUUUAGGAAGCUCAAUGAAGAUCUAAGUUCCAUUGUAACUUGUAA